UAAGGAUGCAAGUCGAGCGAACUUGCGGGAGCUUGCUCCCAAAGUUAUCGCCGGACGGGUGAGGAACACGUGGGCAACCUGCCUAUAAGACUGGGAUAACUUCGGGAAACCGGAGCUAAUACCGGAUCAUUCUUUUCUACACAUGUAGGAAAGCUGAAAGACGGUUUACGCUGUCACUUAUAGAUGGGCCCGCGGCGCAUUAGCUAGUUGGUGAGGUAACGGCUCACCAAGGCCACGAUGCGUAGCCGACCUGAGAGGGUGAUCGGCCACACUGGGACUGAGACACGGCCCAGACUCCUACGGGAGGCAGCAGUGGG
rnacentral:sRNA from 1 species